rnacentral:rRNA from 1 species
UACGAAGGGAGCUAGCGUUGUUCGGAAUUACUGGGCGUAAAGGGUUUGUAGACUGUAAAGUAAGUUUCUUGUAAAAAACUAAAGCUUAACUUUUUAAAUGCAUGAAAAUACUGCUUUACUUGAGUUUUAAUGCAGGAAAAUAUAAUUUUAUUUGUAAAGGUAAAAUUUAACUAUAAAUAAAGGAAUGUCUGUGGUGAAGACGAUUUUCUAGCAAAGACUGACGUUGAGGAACGAAAGUGUAGGUAUCAAACAGG